AUUCAGUGAAGACGCGGGGGGUGAGAAGGUUCCAGCUUUGCUAAGAAACAGGAGAAAAGCCAACCAGAACAAUGUGUGGAACCAGAGGAAAAGCACGGCCCCAUCGCAACACUGUCUCGGCCAGAAAAACAGGCCUGCGUCCUGCCAAUUGCACGGAGGCGAGGGGUCCCCCAGGACGAGGAGAGGUGCAGACGUGGCGUUAGGAGGCCGCACAUGUGCCCUGGCCGGAGGACCGCUCUUCCCUGGGGAUUGGGACUUCAGCUCAGACCGGUGGGGCCCCCACGGGACCAAGCGUCCCUGGACCAGCCUAGAUCAUGGUCGGACCUUCUGCCGGACGCAGCCCCACACACUCAGAGGCUUAGAACCAAGACCAUGAGGGUGAAGGGACGCUCAGGACUCAGCUGUCCAUCUUCCAUUUGUAAACGUGGAAACUCAGGCCCAGAGAGGGGCCCCUCUCAGGUCCGCCGCGUUGUUCCGAGACAGUGAAGGGUGUGGACACGGACACGAUGCUAGGUUGGCAUCUGUCAUUGCUGUUGGUUUUCCCAGUGAGGUGGGUACCGCCCUCAUCUCUGCCUUACACGCUAAGCUGUGGCCUGGAGACGUUAAGUCAGUCACCUAAGGCCACGCAGCUGUGAAGCGUAGAGCCGGGCCUCUAAUCGGGACCAUUUUAUCCUGCUGCGUCGGGACAGCAAGCAGGGCCUCUGACCUCCCGGCCCAGCAGGGCCCCUUCCACCCCAGGUCGCAGGUCCUGGACGAGGUUCUGUUUACACCCUGCUCAGCUCCUCCGCGAAGACGCCCCUGCAGACACAUCGCUUGGCCGGGAAUGACCCGACUCUGACCUGCGGUUCUCCUUUGCCACUAGCCCCAUGCCCCCAGCCCUGCUCCCAGUCACAAUGCUGAUGCCGCCCUCUUCGGCCUCAGCUCCAGCGUGGCCUGCUGGGGCAGACGCCCCCCCUUCAUGCCCCGAGUGCCCCUCUCCCCUGGCUUUGCGGAUUAUAACCCUAAGUGUGUGUUUACCCAUGGCCUCCCCCCCGCUUUCCUGGCCACCGUGGUGCCUGGCAAGGAAGAAAGAACAAGCAGAAGUUGCUGGAGCUCCCGCUGCGGCGCCGUGGGAUCGGCAGCGUCUCUGCAGUGCCGGGACACAGGUUCAAAGGACCCAGGCUUGCAGCAGCUGUGGUGUAGGUCCCAACUGUGGCUCAGGUCUGAUCCCUGGCCCAGGAACUCCAUAGACCAGGGGGUGGCAAAAAAAAAAAAAAAGUUGUUGAUUCAGUAAAUGAAUGAAUCAACUAAAAAACAAAGAUAUGCCUUAGUUCUUCAAAUAAAUUUCUGCCCAAGUCUCUCAC
rnacentral:lncRNA from 1 species